rnacentral:lncRNA from 1 species
AAUCUACUCGAGGUGUGAAGCUGCACCGCCGUGACAAUUUGUGGUUGGGCAGGCUUUGGGCUCAGCAGGGGUUGGAUUUGUUUCGGUUUAGAGCAGCAGGAACCGUUCCCGUUUCCCACGACUACGGCGUGCUUGGGAACGCGGAGCUGUGCGGCGGGAAGGGACGCUGGGCAGGGCAGAGCCCAGGCAGGCGGAGCGGGGGCCGCGAUCCGUGCCUGUGCCCGCGGCUGCCCUGAGGGAGGGCACGAAGCGGCGGAGCGGGGCCGCAAUCUAUUCCCGUGCCCGCGGCUGCCCUGAGGGAGGGCACGAAGCGGCGGAGCUGGGGCCGUGAUCCAUCCCCGUGCCCCCUGCUGCCGUGAGGGAGUGCAGGAAGCGGCGGAGCNNNNNNNNNNNNNNNNNNNNNNNNGUGCCGUGUGCCUGGGAUGACCCUGCCGGAGCGGGGAGGUUGGACCAGAGACCCUCUGUGGUCCCUUGCAAUCUGUCCCACCCUGUGCUUCCAUGGCGCUGCCCUCAGGCUGCUCGCUCGUGUCCUCUGUUUCUGAAUUUCCCCCCCACCGCCACAGUGUUUUGGAAAUUAUAUUAUUGAAUGUCCUUGUGCCUCUGACUAGAUAUGGAUAACAGGAAGGAUGAGAAAAGCAGGACGCUGUGUGCAACCUCAGAAGAAGGGCUGAAGGCCCGAGGAAAAGAGAAAAGGAAACGAAAGCGCAGCAGAAGCAGAUCCUCAUCUGUUUCAUCCACAUCGUCUUCUAGCAGUACAUCCACUUCUUCCUCCUCAUCACGUUCAUCAACAAGGUCAUCUUCUUCCAGUAGUAGUAGAGAUUCUCCUAAGUCUAAGUCAAAGAAAAAGAAAAAAGAAAAACACAACAAAAAGGUAAAAGUUUACAAAGAGAAACAGGUAGUUAAGAAACAAAACCUUAAAUGUCAUGUAAGACAAGCCUUUUGUCUGUGGCUGUGUAAAUCUAAAUCAUGCUUUUAG